ACUUUGAAAAAAAUUUCUUGAAAUUUUUUAAAAUUAAUAGACUGACAUUUAUCGAAAUUUUUUAAAAUUAAUAGACUGACAUUUAUCCCUCUCUACUGUCUCUCCCGCGUAUGUCCUCUCCUCUUUCACUCCCAGGACACCAAUCUUCUUUCGGGGCAAACCCUACAAUCUCACAAUCAAAUUGCUCUAGUGCUCCUUGUCCGAGUAUUUAACUCCACAGAAAUGUAUAAAGCUUAUCCUUCUCCUCCUUCCAAACCAUCAAAAUUCACCAAGAAAAUCCGAGAGCCGAACACUACAAUUUCGACUCGUAAAACAGUUAGGUUAAUGCGUAUGGAGCUCGGUGGUGCUUUUACUGUCUUGCUGACUUCUUGAAUCGGAGCGGGAAGGGUUCGGGUGAUAAUGAAAUGGCAUAUUUUUGCACCCGUGCUUUGGAUGAUAGAUCUCAGACUGGUGAAACGGCAUGUAAUAGAAAAGAUAAAAGAGAGAGAAUUCAUGUGGUUGACCCCAUUCAAAAAGGAUUAAGGUGAGAGACAUCGUUGGAGGCACCAUUCGUUGGAGAAUAUAUCUUGAUCAGUUGAUUCUUUCAUUAUUCCUGACGAGAACACAUAUAGAAGCAUAGAACCUCUUCUGUUACAGGAAAAUAACUCCCUUCCUUUACCCUUAGUGGAAGGCAAUGAUCGUUCACAAUCACGUGCUCUUGCCAAGCUUCAUUCUCAUCCAGUUUUAAGUUUGGUGUUGAAUCUUUUUCUUCUAUUUACAACUUCAAGGAUAACUGGAGCUAAUCAUAGAGUGGAUGGUGCGACGAUGGAGAAAGUAUCUUGGGCUCGAGGAAGCUAUUAUCUUGGGCUUGAGGAGGCUAUUAAGUUGAUGAUGUGGAAUAACAGUGACCCCAGUUAUAGCCUCAGGGCAAACAAUGGGAAAGGUUUCACAAGAGCCAACCUUGUGAUGCGGCUUGAAACAUUGAAGGUCCCAUAUGAACUUUCUUCCCAUUUGGACGAUUUUGUUUGUAUCAGAACUGGGAUGCAGACUUGAACAGCAAAUAUGGAACGCAGGUGAAUCAAAAAAUUCCUUGAAUUCUCCCUGGAGAUUUGAAUUCUUGAAUUUAUGUUAAGUCCAGGAUGAAAGUUCAGGUGUUCGUCAGGAGUAGAGGUUGUUCAUGCUGAGCGGGGAUCAGUCUACUUCAUUCUUCCGAUGCUACAUAGGAGUUCCUUUAUGAUUUAGUUUCUUGAUUUAGACAGUUAUUGCUGUCAUUUGUUUAGUUUGGAUUUUCUAGGGGUCCACACAGUAUGGAUUCCCGAGUUGUAUUUUGGAAGAUCAGUUGUAUCAGAAGAGUUUAUUAAUUAAUGGAAAUAUAGUCUGAGGUUUAUUAUUAGAUUAUCA